UACGUAGGGUGCAAGCGUUGUCCGGAAUUAUUGGGCGUAAAGAGCUCGUAGGCGGUUUGUCGCGUCUGCUGUGAAAACUCGGGGCUUAACCCCGGGCCUGCAGUGGGUACGGGCAGACUAGAGUGCGGUAGGGGAGACUGGAAUUCUCGGUGUAGCGGUGAAAUGCGUAGAUAUCGAGAGGAACACCUGCGGCGAAGGCGGGUUGCUGGGCUGACACUGACGCUGAGGCGCGAAAGCUAGGGGAGCGAACGGG
rnacentral:rRNA from 1 species